rnacentral:misc_RNA from 1 species
AGUCGUAACAAGGUUUCCGUAGGUGAACCUGCGGAAGGAUCAUUAGCAAAUCGAAAUCACUGUGCGCCGCCGCCAGGCGGUGCACAUCUGUUCCGGGGAGAAAGUCUGUCCGACUCUCUCUCUGUGUUCAAUGUGCUCAGAUGAAAUAUUCUGUGUCCAAGUGCUCCACGGAAAUGUAAAUCACAACCACCAAAACAAAAACAUACAACAACUUUCAACAAUGGAUCUCUUGGCUCUG